UACGUAGGGUGCGAGCGUUGUCCGGAAUUACUGGGCGUAAAGAGCUCGUAGGUGGUUUGUCGCGUCGUCUGUGAAAUUCCGGGGCUUAACUCCGGGCGUGCAGGCGAUACGGGCAUAACUUGAGUGCUGUAGGGGAGACUGGAAUUCCUGGUGUAGCGGUGGAAUGCGCAGAUAUCAGGAGGAACACCGAUGGCGAAGGCAGGUCUCUGGGCAGUAACUGACGCUGAGGAGCGAAAGCAUGGGGAGCGAACAGG
rnacentral:rRNA from 1 species